UACGGGGGGAGCAAACGUUGUUCGGAAUCACUGGGCGUAAAGGGCGUGUAGGCGGUUCGGUAAGUGGAAUGUGAAAAUCCCCCCGGGCUUACCCGGGGAACUGCAUCCCAUACUGCUGGACUUGAGUGCGGGAGAGGAUGGAGGAAUUCCUGGUGUAGCGGUGAAAUGCGUAGAUAUCAGGAGGAACACCUGUGGCGAAGGCGUCCAUCUGGCCCGUACUGACGCUGACUGCGCGAAAGCUAGGGAGCAAAGCGGG
rnacentral:rRNA from 1 species